GUGUUAGUAGCUCAGUCAGGUAGAGCAGAGGAUUGUGGCUCCUUAUGGCAUGGGUUCAAAUCCCAUCUAACACCCCA
rnacentral:tRNA from 1 species